ensembl:lncRNA
UUUUUUUUUUUUAUUUUCCCUCUGUACAGCAAGGGGGUCAGGUUAUCCUUACAUGUAUACGUUACAAUUACAUUUUUCCCCCACCCUUUCUUCUGUUGCAACAUGAGUAUCUAGAGAAAGUUCUCAAUGCUAUUCAGCAGGAUCUCCUUGUAAAUCUAUUCUAAGUUGUGUCUGAUAAGCCCAAGAUCUUAGAUUUUUUUGAGCUUUAUACUCAAAAACAUUAAAGACCAGUCCAUUCUGACUUAUAUAAGGUCAGUGGUUUAUAAGACGUGCUGGUCUUAAUAGUUUAAAAAUGAAUAUAUUUGUAUGAUAUUACAUCAUAUCUUAUAUGUUAGUAUGAGUUCUACCAACCGCUUUGUGUUGUUGUUUUGUUUUUGUUUAUUUUUUUUCCUUGUCAGGCGCUAGGAUUGGAUAUCACUACCUUCACCAUGCAAAUGGAAACACUCACAACACAACUCAGAGAGGAUAUCUGAGUCAGGAAUUCAAAAGUUAGAUGCUAGACUACACUUACCCUAUUUAUACCACAGUUUUAGAUGUGCCAAUCAUCAAGGCAAGCCUUGAUCCAACAUAAAAGAGCAGAAUCUUGCUAUUUCCUUCUUCACUGCUUCCUCCAACCUCUAAUCAAAGGAAUCAGUCUGGUCCCCGGGUCAUGACUGUCUCCUGCCAGCCUAGUCACCUGCCCAGAGGAAUCACUUCAUAAGGCUUCAUAGACUGUCACUCCCAGGACCAUCCCUGGGAACCGGAGCAGCUGGUUCCCUGAACCCAGGCCCAAAAAAUGGCUGUGGAGGGUGGAUUUAUGGGAACCCCAGGAAAGUCCUCACUGAAGCCACCCUCUUAGCUGGAGGACUUGGUCUCCAGAGCUGGACUCCCUUUGAACAGGGUAGAUUCACCAGCCUUUCCUUCCUCUAUGUAAAUCUUCUCAUAGGUCUUACAUUUCUGCGGGCUACAGGAAGUACUCAUGACAAGGGGCCCUGACCUUGAUCUUCUGUAGUAGAGGCACCAAGAGUUAGCCUAAGGAUAAAGACCCAUCUCUCCUUUAAGACAGCAGCAGACUCCAAAAACUAAAGUGUGAAAAGAAAAGUGGGUCCAAAGAUGAGCACAUCAACACUGUCACUGCCAAGAGCAAUUGGUUGCACCUAAAAAUAGUGCUGUUUUUAAGGAGAACUAUUUCAAAUAUCUCUCUUUAAAAAAAAAAAAAAAAAUAGGCCCACAUUACCAAACUUCAUAAAUUCCUAUCUCCUAGAAAGACAUUUCCACACUUAAAAAAUAAAUAAAUAAAAGGUUCUGAUCCAUCUUUUAUGUCCAAGACAGAUUUCUUGACGCCACACAUUCAUAAAUUCACUAACCAUGCAGCUGUGGUUAGUCAUAUGGUUGCUUGGUUAAGUAACUGUGGUUUUCUUCUGAUCCUUUGAAAAAAAUACAUUUUUAGCAUAUCUUCCAUUUUUAAAAUGUAUUUUUUCAUUCUUGCCAUGCAAAUCAUUUGAAACGCUUCCCUAAAGAUCUAUAUCAAUAGUGUUGAAAGAAAUGAAUGCUUGGGAACAGGAAAAAACGUUAAUGGAAUAGACUUCCUGCUCUAAAGAUUUGAUGAAUCCAUGCUUCAUUUAAAAAAGUUAACCCCUACUUGUCCACAGCUGCCAGGGGAGCAUGGCUGGACAUCAAGUGAUCCCAGACUCCCUGUUAAAAAGCAGGUAAUUGGUCUUAUCACCAACAGCCACUGCAUCUAUAAGUCUAUAGCAUUAUACUUGAUUACUUGUGAUAUUUUUACUUACUCUCUCAAGUUUCACUUGUUCCCACAGCAGACAACCCCAAAUACCUCUCAAGUAAACUAUAUUUUGCACUGCACAGCCCAUGUGAAGAAAUUCUCAGUUUGUUUAUACUCUGAUUUUCCAAAACUUAAAGUUGUAAAAAGUGUAUUUGUUGCCUUUAGCACAGCGUAAAUAUUUUGCCUAAAAAAUCUCAGUAUAAACUUUCAUCUAUCUUUUGAGGCCUCAAUUCACUUUUCCACCUCUGAGGAUGCAGUGAUGGAGUGUCCAUCAACUCGAGACAUUUAAUUACUGUUUGCAUGCCAUGGUUCGCCUGUGGACUUGUUCCUCACAAAGCUGAAACCAGCAUCUUUGAAACCAGGCACAAAUAACAGACCAGCGACAGCAAAAGACUUUUCCACAGCAUCAAUAAAAUCUCUGCAGCAGGCACAGGCAGCCAAUGGUCAGAGAGUCCCAGGAGAUCUUCCACACAGGAUACGCAUCUUGUUACAGAAUUCCUCAAUGCCUUUUUGCUGUCUCCCUAAUGACCAGUUAAAUGGGCUCCCUCGAGGAUGCUUGAGUCAGCGCCAGCUUGAAAACUGCUGAGGAAACAUCCUCUUUUACUGGAAAUGAUUUCCAUCAAACUGCCAUGUGCCAUAUUUAGACUCAACGCUUAGUAACACCCAGCAGAAGGGGCUAUGUUUGCAGGGCAGGAGGCCCUGCACUGUGAGAAAAGAGCUUGCUUUUGUCUGGCCCAAGUGACCGCAGGGCAGUGAGCUGGUGAGUCUGUGGCAGGCUGUAGCCAGAGGGACAGAAUUGCUUCUAUCUGGAGCAUCAGGCUCCCUUCUGCAGAGGCAGCUGCUUAUUCCCAUCCUGCUUGUCCCAGAGAUACAAAUGGGGUGGUAGUUAUUUAAGUCUGUGCACAUCUGCCUGGCAGCAAGAGAUCAAAACCUAGCAAUUCUGUUCACCUGAGCUCAGCAAGGGUAUAGGGGGCAAAUAUCUCUUCUCCCCCAUUUAAACUUAGAUCAUAGAAUUUAAAUCAUAGAAAAAUAAUAUUAAAAUGUCUUAGUUAUGGCAUACAAUUCUGCUAAACAGCUGAGUCACAAAAUUUUUAAAACUUCUUUAUGCACAUGCAUACAUAUAACGAUAUAAAUGUUUAAGCAUGAUUAUUCAGACAUGGGAUUUUUUUAAGUGAAAUAUCCUCCCAUAAUUUUGUCCUUGGCUUCUCUCCUUUCCCUUUUUUUCCUCCACCCCCCCAUCAUCCCACAGCCCCAGAUUAACUUAUACUAACAAUAUAUCUUGCAACUUUCCAUGUUUUUCCUUAUGCUCAUAUAAUGCUACACAAACAUACAGACAUAUAUGCAUCCAGUUGGUCACUUCUGCUAUUGUUUGAUGUCUACAAAAAGAGGAUCCUAUCGCAAACACUUUUCUGCAUUUUUUUUUCUCUCAAUAAGAAAUCAGGAAAAUCCCUCCAAGUCAAUCCCUAUAGCUCUGACUCCAACUGUGUGUAGUAUUCCAGGAUACGCAGGUUCAUCAUUCUUUCAACUGUUCCCCUCUAAAUAGACAAAAUAAAUAGUUCUUAAACUAUGUCCUUCUCCCUCUCUCUCUUUUUUUUUUUUAACAUUUCUACUGGAAAUCAGAACAGAGAAUGCUUACCCAAAUCCUAAAUAUAUAUUUCUUUAAUAAAUACAAGAAAAGUUGUCCCUUUUCCUCGUGUUCUCCCUAACACAGAUGUUAUCUUCUACUCAGUGCAGAAGACAAUACUGUUUCAAAGUGUAGGUUUUGUUAUUAUUUAGCUACCAUAAGGGAACAAAUCAGGAGAUGACUGCUGUGGAAAAGAUGGUUUGUUACUCAUAGUUCCAAGAGGAGAGGGCAUGCCCUGUCAUGUAGGGCCACACAGGGAAGCACCAGGGUCACCCUGGAGAAAGAAGCAUGAGGGGAAAACAUGGGAAAAGAGAUUUUAUUAUGGUUUUUUCAUGGGAAGGAAUGGGCAAGAUAACAUAAUCAAGCUAAGCAGGUUUAGGAUUAGGUAGUUUAAAUCAUUUCAGUGGGCUCUGGGUUAUAGACACUGUCUCAAGUUGUCUGGUACCUGGACCUGGAGUGAUUGUGGAAAGGUAAUGUUGAGCCAGAGUAUAAAAAAUACAGAUCUAAAAAAUGCAGGUGGUUGGGAGAUAUGGGCUUUUGGAUCAGGUGGUUUGCAAGUGAAAGGUUCACGUCUGGGCAAAUUGUUUGCCAUUUCUAGGGAUUAGCCAGCCUUGAGAGGGGCAGUUCCAUACCAGCCAGUGAGCCCAAGAGGCCAACACAUCAAGAAUACAGAAAAUAAGAAAACACAGUAAAUGAAAAUGUAUACUCAAGCAAUGUUUGGUAAAUGACAGGAGCCUUAAUCAUGGAAAUGCAGCAUAUUCUGUCUCCUGCCUAUGGGCACAUCUCUACACACUCAGUCAAGUUGUUGCAAAGGGCCUUGGGCUUUGAGGGGUACAUAGGAGUUCAUUUCAGGUAAGAUGGGGACAGGUACUUCCAGGGUUGUGAAACUGGUAGCUGAGAUGACAGUAUUAAAGUUAUACAGAGCUAGUACUGGGUCAAGGAGGACAACCACAGCCACUCUUUUGUCUAUACAGACUGUCCAGAAAUAUAGCCAGCAUUCCUCAGUUCCCUCACUGUUUUUGGCAGUUGCUGCAGGUCUUGGAACAGUAUCCAGAGUGGUAUAACCUCCUUUCCCAAGGUUGGAGUGUCUGUCACCAAGCAGCUCUUUGAUCAACUCUCUUCCACUGAAGAAUCUUUCCUGCAUUCUGCCUCCAUCAUCCCCACUCCCCCUGCUCAUGAAAGAAAGGAUGGAAUUCUCCCUGCCGUGCACAGGGGAAGAUUCCUUUAGACCUGUACUCACACACAUUGGAAUACAAUGUCUAUCAUGUAUACUGAUCAUUAGUCAUUUUUCUGUUACUUUGCAAUUCUUUUUUUCAUGCAAAUAAAUGGUUAUAGAGGGGUACAUGGGUGAAAUAUAGCCAAGGAAUCAAGGUGUUUGGGCUUUUUCUUUUCCUCUCCAUCAGCUUUCUUCCCAUAUCCUCCCUUUCCACUGCCUGAUCCUCCGGUGUUACUGAGUUUGAGUUAACUAGGAAGCAAAAACUGUGCUAAAAACCAGACAAGCUAGGUCACUUAAGUCAAGAAUGCAUUGUGAGUCUGUUCUGUACUGAGAUCAAGACACUAAAAUGAACAACAUGGUUCCCGCCUUCCAAAACUUAUCAUCUGGUGAAGGAAAUAAAACAAAACAAAUGUUUUGAGUAUAUAUUUAGUGUUGUCAAAAACUGGUGAUAAGCAGCCCCAGUGAAAACAAAUCAUACUUAAGGUUGCCUAUCUUCCUGUGGGAGGGUCCAAUCAGCCAUCCAAAAGGUGUAUAUUUUGCAGGUACAUAGCUGGGAGUUUCAACAAAGACAGUAUUCUAUUUACCACUCACCUCCUCAAUACCACCUCCUUUAAAAGUCUCAGGAAACCUCUAACUAGGUAUUCAGGGAUUAUGCCCAUCUCCAGGUAAUGAUGGAAAGCAUGAAACAAAUUUCAGAUUGACUUAACAAGCUAAACCCCACAGGCAAUUUUUUUUGCCUUCAUGAAGGUUUAGUCCAGUCAGAGCAGCAAGAUAACCACAGCACAACUGUGAUAUUUACCUGACAGGGUAAAAAAAAAUACCAUGAAAUUUGCAGAUUGCAAACACAGGCAACUAUGAUGUUUUGCUUGUGUGUCUCCAUUCCAGAAAUAUUUAUUUACGGUCCACCCAAAGCCAAGUUGGCAGUGCUUGCCCUUGUAUCUUAGCCAUUUUCCAUUCACCGUAAAAUCUUCAAAAAGCCAAGUAACUAAAUGUUUUAACUUUGGGUUUCAUCCUUAAAGUCUUUUUCAUGUUUUUUUAAUAUUUAACAGAGAAUAAUUAACAGCAUUGUAUUUCCUGUUGUGGCUCAGUGGAUUAUGAACCUAAAAUAAUAUCCAUGAGGAGGCAGAUUCAAUCCCUGGCCUCCCUCAGUGGGUUAAGGAUCCAGCAUUGCUGCAAGUUUCAACAUAGGUUACAUAUGUGGCUCAGAUCUGGUGUUGCUGCUGCUGCGGCAUAGGCCAGCAACUGCAACUCUAAUUUGACCCCUAGCCUGGGAACUUCUAUAUGCCACACCUGUGGCCCUAAAAAGAAAAUAAAAAAGUGCUUUAACCGCAUAAGAAUUGAGGAGCUUAUGAGCAAAAAGAAACCAUCCAGGAAUUUAUGCAUGGCAUGAGCACUGGUGGAAAAAAAAAAAAAAA